GGCACGUAGCUCAGCUGGAUAGAGCGUCAGGUUCCGGUUCUGAAAGUCGGGGGUUCGAGUCCCUCCGUGCCCGUCCA
rnacentral:tRNA from 1 species